UCCUGAGGAUGCCUGCCCCACAUGGCUGUUCCCACAGAGGGGCUGAAGGACAUUUCAGAUAGCUACAGUGCUGCGAGCUGUGCACGGGCUUGCUGAAACCCAUGGAGCUCUGCAUGGGCACCCUAAUAGCAUGUACCCAGUGUAGUUUUGCGUCGUAUUUGGUCCACAAACCUGAUGCCAAGAGUGCAGCCCCAACAAUUCAGGUGCCCCAAGCAUGGGCUGCCACCAUCCCUCCAUUGAUUGCCCCAGCCCCAGCUCCCCGCUCCAUCUCCUCUGCCAGAAGCAGAGCUCCUGCAGCAAACAGCUUGAAGAGCUUGAAGAGCUCUGCCUGAGAAGUCACGCACUGUGCUUCGGGUAGUGGAGUCCUGGUUUGGGUGGGAAUUUCCACAUUACAUUGACCCAGGCUCCCUGGGAAUGCUGCCCAUGUGAUCUGCACCGACGGGGCAGCGGCAGCGCAAGCACAAGGAGCGUCCGCAGCACCAUGAAAAUAAGCAGCCAACGGGGGAAAGCCUGUAAAGCACAGAUUUCCUAAUCUCACUGCAGUGCUCCUGCAGCCGAGGGAGAAGUGUCUUCUCCUGCAGCAGCCUUCAGAGCAAGCGCUGCAGCACGUGAAGGAUGCAAGCAGUUUCGGUGCGGUGCCAGCAGUCACCGCAGAGCACAGGACGUAGGAACCUCACUAGGAGCUGUGUCCCAGGCCCCUGCACACCUUUCCUGUGCUUUUAUAUUUGUCUAACUUCAAUCGAGAACUGCCUGGGACAAGUCCUGCUGCUGGAGAAGGUCAGCCUGCCACCAGGGGCUCAGCAGAGGUGGCGUUCUGCUUUCAUGGCAUGAAGAGCAGUGCCACAGACACAUGGGCUCCUCCAAAACAGGUUUCUUACCGGAUCUCACAUAAAUCAUAACACCCAGAGCCAUCACUACCGCAUCCCUGCACAGUACUGCCUGCUGGCAGGCAAUGGUUUCAGAGACCCUAUAACCCACCCCCAGAGGAGACCCUAAGCAUGGAGAUUUGGGUGGUACAGAAACUAUAUGGAGCUGGAUCGCUGCAAGGGAUCACGGCAAGGGAAGAUGCAGGGUGCCCUCCUACACUGAUCAAAAUGUGUAGUUACUAGUAAGAGAAAAUACAGACACGACUAAAAGAAAUCCACUCCCAUGCCCGUGCCAAAAAGCCCCUUAUCCCCGGCAGCCCUCCCAGCACGAUGGCGUGCCCAGUAGAUAAGUCACAAAUAACACAGUCCUUCCGCACCCCGCUACCCAGAGAAGCACUGAUCAGAAUUGCUUGAAGCACAGCUUGAAACAAUUUUCCAACCUGCGCUGGGGGGGCUGAAGUCACCACCCUCCUUCUGCGCAGUGAGGAACUUCUUCCACCCAUGGACACGUGGAUGCAAAAGCAAAGAGGAUGGGGUAAGACAACAUUUCCAUGCUCCACGGGCAGCAGCCACGCACACACAGCUCAUACAGGCGUUUCAUUGAGCACGGUGUCAGCGCCCACUAUAUUACCUGUCUCUCACCACAAACAUUUGCCUUCUGCAGGGUACUUCCCAUGAAGACCAUGAGUGGUCAAGGAGUUAUGAGCGAGGGAGGGAAGGUGGAUUGUUUCUGAUUUCAAUACGUUCAUUUCUUCCUUUUAUUGCCCAGAUGUCAUCAUCAGAUGCUCAAUUUCCUGUGUCCACCUGAAGGUCUACAAAAGUUCUCCACCGCCUCUAUAGAUGAUUUAAUCUCUGGAGUCCAAUUUGCUAAUAAUUACAUUCAGAUCAUAAAUACAGAUUUAGAUUUUUGUACAGCAGCACAGAGCUUCUUUCGUGUCCGACUGCACAUCAAUAUAACACAGAACACUUUCUGCUUCAGCACAACUUUGGUUCACAGCUUCUUAGUGCUCCUGGUGGAAGUCCUGGAGAGAAAUCUGAAGUCAGCCUGGAGACCUAUGCGGCUCAGCUCAAACUGUGUCGACUCACAGAAGCUGAAGACCUAGCUCCUCUGAGAAGUGUUCUUACAACACCUCAGCAUUUCUGGGGCCAGUUCCUCAUCAAACCUGCCAAGAAAACUCGGACUCUUUUCUUUAGAGACAGCCUCCCGUGAUUCUCACUUGAUAUCUUCAGGUUUUGUUCUAAGCUCGUAAAUAUUUUUCCUUAAAAGUGGUUCAAGAAUGGAAGUUUUAACAUACGGGACAUGUCAAUAUUUGGUUUCAUUAAGAAACUAUGGCCUCCUUGUUCUUGUUCUACAAGAUUUCCUUCCCCCCAGAGCAGUUACCCCAUGAAUGCAGAGAAGUUCCCCUCUGUAGUAUCAAGGCAGGGAAGCGCAGCCACCCAAAGCACUGCUCUGGACGCUUCCAGGCAUGGCCCCAUCUCCUUCAGAUGCUCCCCGACACCAUGGGGAUGCAUUCAGGAGCGGCAUCACACCAGCUCCUGCCCGCCAGAAACUCGGUGCUGUGUGUGUUUCACUCCAGGCUGGACCACGGCUUGCUCCCCAGAGCCUUCGGGUGGCUGAGCCCCACGGAGGAUUUCACCAGGACCAACGCAAGCGAAAUCAGUCAGCUGCAAGGUCCCUGCAGGAGCUGACGGUGAUGUCUGUCUAACUAAAAUGAAGUAUCAAUAUCCUAGCUCACACUCGAUGAAAGAGCCAUUCUGAAUUAUUUACUGUAUGUCAUACUUCAGGUUUUCAUUUCAAUAUAUUGUGAGAUGUACGAUAAAUUAUUUAUAAGCGUGGCAAAUUAAAAUGCAGUUUCAAAUCCA